UAAGGGACGGACCAUUUGAUUUUUGAUGGGGGGGUGGGUAGAAUCCCAAAAAAAAUAUCGAGCAAGCAAUUCGAACUUAAAAAAAAUAUCGUGCAAGAAUAAACGGACGAAAAAAAAUAUCGAGCAAGACUUUCGAGUGGUAAUCCUUAUUUGCCAUUCGGUGCAUUUCUGCGUGUAGCCCAGGGCCGCAUGUAGCAACCGGGGGGACUGCAGGGUCCAGGAAAUGGCAUUUCAGAGACUCUAAAUUUAAAAAUUUCCCCAGGCCUUCGGCCCUCGCUUUCAGCUCCCCCCAAUCAAAAAGAGCUUCCUACGGCCCUGUAGCCUAAAUAAUGGGAGGACCAGUAUAAUUCCAAAAAUGGUUGUUCUUUAUUUCUUUACUCCGACCCCUAUGAUGAACAUGUACGUAAAAAACUAGGAAAACUACGAUUAAAUCACGGCCGUAGAAACUAAAAUAGGUGAAAUUUUUAUGGGACACAAUCAAAGGCGAGGAUAUAAGAGCGAGAGAUUGAAAUUGAGUAGGAAUAGCGUACAGGGGUAUGCGUUUCGACCUAACAGUUUUCUUCAGCAGGGUUUUUUAAGAGGGGGGUAGAUAUAAUUUGAAGAGGAGAAGGAAGGAGAGUUUAUAGGAGUUCGGAAAAUAAUGUGAGACCAAGAGGAAAACAAAUUAUUACGAAAUAACUGAAAAUAACCAAUUACACAGUGAAAGGAUGUAACUACUAUACAUGUUAUUAGUCAAGUUAUCCUACCAAAGGUCUUGUUGUUUGCGAGACAUUCCAACACUACGCACUUUAUUGUUCAUCGUUCGUAUUGGUGAAGUGAAGCAAAUUUGCAG